AGCAGCCGCGGUAAUUCCAGCUCCAAUAGCGUAUAUUAAAGUUGUUGCAGUUAAAAAGCUCGUAGUUGAAUUUCGGGGUCUAUCCGUCGGUCGGGCUUCACGGUCCGUACUGGUGUGAUGGGUUCCUACCUUCUGAAUAACCGGCAUGCCAUUCAGUUGGUGCGCCGGGGAAGCAGAGCUAUUACCUUGAAAAAUUAGAGUGCUUAAAGCAGGCUAGUGCUUGAAUAGAUUAGCAUGGAAUAUAAAAUAGGACGGCAUGGUUCUAUUUUGUUGGUUUCUAGGAUCACCGUAAUGAUUAAUAGGGAUAGUUGGGGGCAUUAGUAUUCAAUUGUCAGAGGUGAAAUUCUUGGAUUUAUUGAAGACUAACUUCUGCGAAAGCAUUUGCCAAGGAUGUU
rnacentral:rRNA from 1 species